AAGUCGUAACAAGGUAACCGUAGGUGAACCUGCGGUUGGAUCAUUUUCGAUCAGCACCCUGACAAAGGGUCGAUCCACAACUGUGAACUUGUGUUUUUGCGUCAGAGAGUGUAAAGCAAAUCACUGUGGGUUGUGCACGCCCACAGUGAUUUGGCCGGAUCACUUUCUGCGCUGAACAAACCUAAGAUUUUUUGACUGAUUUCAUCACUUUGAUGUGAAAAUCAAAAACAACUUUCGACAACGGAUCUCUUGGCUCUC
rnacentral:misc_RNA from 1 species